UAGAGUUUGAUCAUGGCUCAGAUUGAACGCUGGCGGCAUGCCUAACACAUGCAAGUCGAACGGUAACAGCGAAGCGCUUGCGUUUCGGCUGACGAGUGGCGAACGGGUGAGUAAUACGUAGGAAUCUGCCCUAGAGAGGGGGAUAACCCGGGGAAACCCGGACUAACACCGCAUAAUCCCUAUGGGGCAAAAUGGGCUUCUGUUUACAUGCUCAUGCUCUGGGAGGAGCCUACGUCCGAUUAGUUUGUUGGUGGGGUAAUGGCCUACCAAGACUGCGAUCGGUAACUGGUCUGAGAGGAUGAUCAGUCACACUGGGACUGAGACACGGCCCAGACUCCUGCGGGAGGCAGCAGUGGGGAAUAUUGGACAAUGGGGGAAACCCUGAUCCAGCAAUGCCGCGUGUGUGAAGAAGGCCUGAGGGUUGUAAAGCACUUUCAGUAGGGAGGAAAGAGUUAACAUUAAUACCGUUAACUUAUGACGUUACCUACAGAAGAAGCACCGGCUAACUCUGUGCCAGCAGCCGCGGUAAUACAGAGGGUGCGAGCGUUAAUCGGAAUUACUGGGCGUAAAGCGUACGUAGGUUGAUAAGUAUGUUGGAUGUUAAAGCCCCGGGCUUAACCUGGGAGUGCAUUCAAAACUGCUUGUCUAGAGAUCAGUAGAGGGAAGUGGAAUUUCCGGUGUAGCGGUGAAAUGCGUAGAUAUCGGAAGGAACACCAGUGGCGAAGGCGGCUUCCUGGGCUGAUACUGACACUGAGGUACGAAAGCGUGGGUAGCAAACAGGAUUAGAUACCCUGGUAGUCCACGCCGUAAACGAUGAAAACUAGCCGUUAGGAGCUUCGGCUUUUAGUGGCGCAGCUAACGCGAUAAGUUUUCCGCCUGGGGAGUACGGCCGCAAGGCUAAAACUCAAAGGAAUUGACGGGGGCCCGCACAAGCGGUGGAGCAUGUGGUUUAAUUCGAUGCAACGCGAAAAACCUUACCUACCCUUGACAUCCCAAGAAGUCAUUAGAGAUAGUGACGUGCCUUCGGGAACUUGGUGACAGGUGCUGCAUGGCUGUCGUCAGCUCGUGUCGUGAGAUGUUGGGUUAAGUCCCGUAACGAGCGCAACCCCCAUCUCUAGUUGCCAGCAAUUCGGUUGGGCACUUUAGAGAAACUGCCGGUAAUAAACCGGAGGAAGGUGGGGAUAACGUCAAGUCAUCAUGGCCUUUAUGAGUAGGGCUACACACGUGCUACAAUGGAGCGUACAGAGAGUCGCAAAGCGGUGACGUGGAGCUAAUAUCACAAAGCGCUUCGUAGUCCGGAUUGGAGUCUGCAACUCGACUCCAUGAAGUCGGAAUCGCUAGAAAUCGCGAAUCAGCAUGUCGCGGUGAAUACGUUCUCGGGCCUUGUACACACCGCCCGUCAAACCAUGGGAGUGGGUUGCACCAGAAGUAGGUAGCUUAAUCUUUUAGAAGGGCGCUUACCACGGUGUGAUUCAUGACUGGGGUUAAGUCGUAACAAGGUAACC
rnacentral:rRNA from 1 species